UGGGCUUAUCCCGGCCACUAUUUGUGUAGCAGAUUUCUAGCAUAAUACUGAUGCAAGACAAGUAUGAUAUACUAUAAACAUGCUCGACUAGAGAAGCAAAACUACAAAGAGUAACAACUUGUUCAUGAUGUGUGGAUUAAGGAAAAUCUUAACGUCUUUUGAAUAUGUACUUCCUAAAUCUACGUAGCAUAAAUGAUUCUAUGGGGUACAAGUGGAGUUACACAUGCAAUUAGAAUGACAAAACUACGAAAUAAAAUCAGAAUAAGCUCCGCCAAUGGUCGGAUUCUUG
rnacentral:lncRNA from 1 species